GUAGGCUGACUUAAAAUUAGAACAAGGCAGACUUCUUCCCCAACUGCUUCCCCAGGUUUCCCUGGGGAUUUGCAAACAUUUGCCAACCUCCCCUGUUUCCCAAGCCUGAACUUCAAAGGCCACAGAGGACUGCUGGCAUUUCCUGGUUCUGUGACACCCUGGUCCCCCCUGGUAUGAUGAAGCUCAGAGCCUGCCAGAGCUUCUUCUGGGAGCACUACACCAGACCACAUAACGCCCACGAGGCUACGGUUUCCUGGAAUCCCUCGCUGGAAUCCACGAGGAGUCACUGGGUCGAAUUCCUAAGACCUCCCGUUUGUGACCAGAAAGG